GCGGAAGUGGCGGAAUUGGUAGACGCACCAGAUUUAGGUUCUGGCGCCGUAAGGCGUGAGAGUUCAAGUCUCUCCUUCCGCACCA
rnacentral:tRNA from 1 species